GGGAAAUUUGAAUGAUUUAACAUACUUAAUUUACUUCCAUGCAAUAGAUAGACAAUGUAGGCCCCAAAUUAUCGUACAUGUGUUCCAUGCUGUAUGUUGUACAAUGACGACUUUUCGCCUUUUAAUAGAAUGAAUGCUCAAUAUAAUAGUUCUCGCUCUGUGUAAAAAUGAGUUCUUUCAAAGCGGAAUUUCUUUUCUUUUUUUUUAUUUUUAGCCCCUCUAUUUAUUCGGUUGAUAAUAUCUAUACCGAGCACGGUUUCGAAGUUAAAUACAUACUAAAGUACAUCCGGUUCGAAUUCAUGUGUUCUCGCAUAGCUAACUGUUUUGAUUUUUUGGAACUUAUGACAAGAGGCAUUCAUCAAUGUCAUUACUAAUGACAAACAGGAGAAACGGAGACAGGAGAUGGAAACACUGAUCUUCACAGAUUGCAGUCAAAACAAAGCAAAAGAAAGCAUUCAAAACUGGAAAUAAGAUAGAAAGCCGUGGAACAUCUAGACGAGUCAUGGACCCCAACAUCUAAAAAAGAACUUGACGG